AUGAAAAAUGAAUCCUACUCUAUCGUGUCUUGGAACGUUCGAGGUCUUGGUGACAAUGAUAAAUGUGCUAAUGUGUUCUCUGAGAUUAAUCAACUACGCCCAUCGAUCGCUCUUUUUCAAGAAACUAAACUUCUCAAACCAGACACCAUUAAAAUAUGCUCGAUCCUACCACGCUUCCUAGACUCAAACAACCAUCUAGACGCUAUCGGUUCUGCGGGUGGCAUUCUCUCUGCCACUAACUCACGCUGUUUUACACUUCUCAGCUGUGACCAUAGGUGUUUUAGCUCCACCCUCACCCUCUCUUGCCUUGCCUCGCAACACGCCGUCUAUAUCACCAACGUCUACGCUCCUUCGCAAAGGGAACUAAAAAAAGAUUUCCUGGAUGAGCUUAAACAAACUGAACCACCACCACAAUCCCCCUGGCUCCUCAUCAGUGACUUCAAUCUGAUUCGCUUCCCCAAUGAAAAGAACAAUAAUAACUUUCGCCGAUCUGAAGCAGAUGCCUUCAAUGAUACCAUUGAUCAACUUGCUCUCAUUGAGCUCCCUCUUCUUGAUUGACAAUUCACGUGGUCAAACAAGAGGCCAUCCCCUACGCUUGUAAGGCUAGAUAGGGUUCUUAUUAACCUCGCCUGGGAUGCGCUCUUUCCCAACACCCACCUGACCUCUCUCACUCGUUUCGCCUCCGAUCACGUUCCGCUACUGGUUACUGUGUCCACAUCUAUUCCCUCCUCCUGCCUUUUUCGCUUUGAACGUUACUGGACCUCCCCCAGGCCUGCAAAACCAUAG
rnacentral:rRNA from 1 species